ACGGGAGGCAGCAGUGGGGAAUAUUGCACAAUGGGCGCAAGCCUGAUGCAGCGACGCCGCGUGAGCGAAGAAGUAUUUCGGUAUGUAAAGCUCUAUCAGCAGGGAAGAUAAUGACGGUACCUGACUAAGAAGCACCGGCUAAAUACGUGCCAGCAGCCGCGGUAAUACGUAUGGUGCAAGCGUUAUCCGGAUUUACUGGGUGUAAAGGGAGCGUAGGCGGUCAUGCAAGUCUGAUGUGAAAACCCGGGGCUCAACUUCGGGAUUGCAUUGGAAACUGUAAGACUAGAGUGUCGGAGGGGUAAGUGGAAUUCCUAGUGUAGCGGUGAAAUGCGUAGAUAUUAGGAAGAACACCAGUGGCGAAGGCGGUUAGCUGGACAAUAACUGACGCUGAGGCGCGAAAGCGUGGGUAGCAAACAGGAUUAGAUACCCUGGUA
rnacentral:rRNA from 1 species